rnacentral:rRNA from 1 species
UUUAUUUUGAUAUUAUUUUUUAUUGUUGAAAAAAUUAAUAAUAAUUUAUUGUUAAUAAAAAUUAAAAUUUAUAAUAUUUUUAUUUUUAUUUUUUAGUUUUAAAUAAAAAAAAUAAAAUUUAUAUAUAUAAAAAUUUUGUUAUGAAUUAUAAUAGUUUAUUUAUUUGUUUUUUAUAAUAAAUAAUAGUAUUUUUUUUAUUAUUUUAUAAAAAAAAAUAAUUUAAUUAUAAUUAUUAAAAGUAAUUUUGUUAUUUAGAAUAAUAUAUUAAUAUAAAUAACAAAAAUAUUAAAUAUUUUUUAAAUUUUUUGGGGAUUUAAGUUAUAAUUUUUUGUGUCUGCUCAGUGAAUUUAAAUAGCACUUUUAGCGUGAUUG